GGGUGUGGCUCAGUGGUAGCGUGCUUGCCUAGCAUGUGUGAGGCACUGGGUUCCAUUCUCAGCACUGCA
rnacentral:tRNA from 1 species